AAAACUACUUGAUGAUCUUGAACUUCUUCACAUUUCUAGAAUUUCCUUGAUCAAGUUUACACUACUUUCAACAAUUAUGUCAGCUCACUUGACCUUGUCAGCAGACAAACUUAGUGAGUUUGAAUUCUUACCUUAACCUUCAUAGAAGCAAUUAUUUCUGAACUCUAUGGAACAAAAAGAGGUUUUUCUUGUUUACUUUUUUUAUAAGUAGUAUUUAGUGGCUUAUGCAUUAUUCUACUUUGGAUUAUGGUCAGUUGGUUAUUGUGUGUUCUAUGAAUCAUUUCAUUGAUUUAAUUGCCUAACUCUGUUGGAACCUUCACUGUGGUUCCUUCAGAGUUUAAGAGGGGAAGUGCAUUUUCCUAUGGGGUUCAAGAUUCUGCCAAGAACCAAAAGAUUGCAUCUUCUGAGGGAACUUCAGCAUUGUGAACCCAUGGAAGAGCAUAGGAACUUGGAUGAUAUUCUGAAGAACGUCAUUAAUUUUAUGAAAUUUGACACUAUGCAAAGUUAAUCGGAACACUGCCAUUCUCAAAAUGGUUCUAGCAUGAAAACAAGUUAACUAAGCUCUCAAAUAGAUUCUUUUUAUAUUGUGUCUACAUAAUUUUCGAUUUUUUUUGCCUUUGCAAUAUCUUCGAGGUGUGGUACAGCAAUCAAAAGGUUUGGCCAAGAUUUUCCUUGAUGAACGGAAAACCAGGAAAAAGAUUUCUGAUAAGUUCUUCAGAAUUUCUCCAUCAAAUAAGGUGACUAACAAUUUUGAAAUUGCAGCCAUCGAAUGCUGGACAUCCUCUGUCCAGUCUAUGUACAUUUUGUUGACAUCUAUAGCCUUAAGGUCACUUCGCAGGCAAUAUUUGAUUAAGAGUGGAGCUCAUUUCCUACUACGUAUUUUCCGUAAGGUUGUAACAGUAGGAGCAGAGGACAUAACACACCAUACAACGAUAGUUUCUUGUUCUUUGACAUUCUUUUUUUUGCAUUAGCUAUCCUAAAGAUCCUACGGUAUCUAACUUAAAUUUUUUAUGCAGACUACUCGGGUUUGAUUGAAAUUAAAUUAUAUGCUUGCUAUACUAGUUGGGAUGUUUUCUAGCGGCCCUCGUAUCAAUCUAUUGACAUAUUAAAAAUGCAGCCCAAAUCGAAUAGCCCAAGGAAUGAAGUCUAAUUGGACAAUUCAGGAUAAAGGCCCAGAUAGGGUUAUUAAUGAAUGCAGUGGAAGCCCACGAACACGGUAAUAUCAUCGCCCAAGCUUGCAAGACGCCCAAAAUCUGAGCGAACGAAGUGCCUUACAGUCGCCCAGAGCUAUGACCAUGUUCUUGCCCAAACCUUCAAAUCGCCCAAGAUCUUAACAAACAUAAGAAUGUUAUGGUUAUCCAGAAGUGCAGUUAUUGAAACAGUUAUUGAGUAACCUUAUCACGUUCCACGAUUCAAGGAGUUCAGUUGAAGACGGUUGAACGACAAAGAGUAGUGGCAGCAGUUAAAGAUGGCAGUUCCACGACAAGUUAGCCACCAUAAAGAAAGUGGGUAGUUAUAAAGCGAUCAAGCAGUUUCUAAGCGGUUGAUCACGAAGAAAUUAUCAAGGGAAUAUAAAAAGAAGAGAAGACAUAGAGCAAAGGACCCCGAAUCAAACACUCUUAAAUAGAGAAUAUGUAAUUUCAAUUUCUUAAUUUAGACUAAAACAUUUCUUUUCAGUACUCGUGUGCUUGCGCCCCUUGGAGACAUUCUGUUUAGUUCCAAUUGUAAAGUCAUCGCCAAU
rnacentral:lncRNA from 1 species